GCUUUGUUUUUCCUUCAGUCGGUUGCAGGGUUCUUUAGGUGGGUCAGAGUCUAUGGACUGAUGCGUUUUCCAGUAGAAACCGGUACGCAUAUCUUUUUGAGUUGGUAACUGGUAGGAUCUGUCAGUGUAAAGCAAUCUAGUAGUAGGUGCCUGUAUUGCACGCAGCUCUUCCUCAGUUCCAGUUACUGUCGGCUGUGGUUAUGAGGUGCCUCAGGAUGUGCUUAUUUUCUUGUUUCCGCCCUUCCCUCGUGCAGCCUUGGAGAGAUGAAGUCCCCAUGGUGUGGAGUGGUGCAAAAAGAGGAAUGGUCCAACAAUUCGGGUUAAUAGGGGACAAGAGAACAAAGGGGUUUCAGAAUAACUGCUAACUGUUAUGACUAUUGCAUGGGGCACUAUGCAAGUCUCUGACAUCCAGCCAAGAUGGACAAAGGAGAAGGACAAGGGAAAAGCCUGGGAGGAAGACUAUGAGCCUUCAGUACGAGAGACCCGCAGAGGGACCACCAGAGACUGGUAACACAUGCGCCAGUGGGCGGGUUCGGAUUCCAGGAACUAGUUAUAAUAACCCUGCCUUUUCUAGAAGUAGUAAUGAAUAUGUAUUAGCCUAGGAGCAUAAAAACCAGCCGCCUGCUGUGACUUGUGUGCGUCUCGGUGGAGCAGAGACUCCCGGCGCACCCAGUGCUGUUUGCUUACCUCUAUUCAUUUAAUAAAUUGUAAACUUUGAUUGUAAUCCUAUUUGGGACUUAGUCAUUUAUUACAACAGACAACCUUGUAAAAUGCAGACAACCAGAAUCCUUACAACAAUUAAGUGGAAAUCACGGUGUAAGAAACGUUACCACCUCAAAGAGUAAAAGCCUCAAAAGAAAUGUGACUUGUAACAGGCCAGCAGCUGUGUGUUUUCGGUGAAGCACCAGGUAGAGUAUGAACCUGGAUUGCACAGUUAAUGGGGAAACGGGAGGGUCCUGGUCCUUGGGAGGGGAAAAAAAAAAAA